UACAGAGGUCUCAAGCGUUGUUCGGAUUCAUUGGGCGUAAAGGGUGCGUAGGUGGCGCCGUAAGUCGGGUGUGAAAUUUCGGAGCUUUACUCCGGAAACUGCAUUCGAUACUGCGGUGCUUGAGGACUGGAGAGGAGACUGGAAUUCAUGGUGUAGCAGUGAAAUGCGUAGAGAUCAUGAGGAAGACCAGUGGCGAAGGCGGGUCUCUGGACAGUUCCUGACGCUGAGGCACGAAGGCCAGGGAGCAAACGGG
rnacentral:rRNA from 1 species